GACGAACGCUGGCGGCGUGAUUAACACAUGCAAGUCGAACGAAGUGGCGAACGGGUGAGUAAUACGUGGGUAACCUGCCCUCCUUUUUGGGAUAAGCCUUGGAAACGGGGUAUAAUCCCGAAUAAAGGGGGAAGGGCUCGCGGCCUAUCAGCUUGUUGGUGGGGUGAUGGGCUACAAAGGCGGUGCGGGUUAGCCGACAUGAGAGCGUGACCUGCCACAGUGGGACUGGGAUACGGCCCAGACUCCUACGGGAAGCAGCAGUGGGGGAGAGUGCACAAGGGGCGAAAGCCGGAUGCAGCGAAGCCGCGUGGGGUAUGAAGGCUUUCGGGUUGGAAACCUCUGUCGCCAGCGAACGGGUAGGUGGAGAAGAAGCGCCGGCUAACUACGUGCCAGCAGCCGCGGUAAUAC
rnacentral:rRNA from 1 species